ensembl:rRNA 5S_rRNA 5S ribosomal RNA
GUCUACAGCCAUACCACCCUGAACGCGCCCAAUCUUGUCUGAUCUCGGAAGCUAAGCAGGGUCGGGCCUGGUUAGUACUUGGAUGGGAGACAGGUGGGGAGUGAACCAGCAGACAGGAGAUC